GAUUGGCUGACCUGAAAGUAAACCGGACAGGAAGAUGAAGCAGGGGAAGGAGGACCUAGUGGAGAUAAUGUUUGUAUAGGGAAGGGGGACUCCUCAAAGGAAGACUUAAGGAUGCCUAAAAUUUUGAAUGGGAGUACAGACCCCUCUGGAAAUCUGUGUGUGUAGUGAAAAUACACUCGCACUCCAUCCCAGUUUGUAGAAUGAUAUCACCAGGGCAAGCAGGAGUGGAGCAAGGUGGUGUGACCCAGGCGUUGUCCCUGGGAAAUGUGACGUUUUACUAUCAUGCAACAAUGGGGUCAACAUUUUGACAUAAGAAGCUACUGAUUGGAUGGGUUUUCUGUAUUUGUAUGUUUAAAAGCCUAUACAGUUCUAAUGAUUUAUACAUUUUGGGUCUUAUUUUCACAAUUGCUGGCCUCUCAAAACAUCAAAUGGAAACAGUGGGACUUGAAAUUGCUCAACCUAUAACUUUACCAUAUAAAAUAUUCUAGUCCAUUAUCCAUUACUCAUUUAUAAUCAGGUGUUUCCAGAGAAGGGGGGUAAAAGUCAGAACAUAUAUCUGCAUGGUGUAUUAGCAGAACUAUAGUGCAAUGCAUGGAAAAGAAAAAAGUUAAUAGUAAGAAGGGCAAAAGGAAUUGAGUUAGAGAAGUAGUGCCCAAACUUUUGGCCCUAUGAGCUGGAUGAGUAGGACUUGGUGAGUCUGUGGACCAGAUCCAAUCUGUAGCCCAACUGGGUAGGCAAGGGGCUGGGGCCCAAGGUGGUGUACUCUGGAUCAGGCCCCAGGCACACCAUAUUGUGGCAAUGGCCCUGGGCCUGCAUCAAAUUGGGCAUACCAGCCCAGCCCCUGGUACUUGUGUGCUGUUGGAUACCAUGCUCAAGCCCAUGGAGCUUGAAAAUAUGACAGUGGGGGAACGGUGGCAGUCUUAAUUGCUAGUAAUCCCACUCCCCUCUCCCCUCUCCCACCCACCACCAAAUUUCUGGACCUUUAGAGAGCUCCAGGGGCUAGAUCACAGCUCUGUGGGCUGGGGUUGAGCACCCCUGAGUAAGAGAAGCUAACAACGUGAGGAACGAGGAGUGCAAUAAGAAAGUGAGAGGUGCCAAAGGAAGAAGCAAGUAUCACAAUGCAGAAAAGAGAAAAGUAUUCACAGGCCUCCCAAUUCUGAAAUCUAAAUGGAAGACUUGGUUCUUUGAUUUUCCUCAGUAAAUUGUAUACACAUGCGACACAUAUACACUAACAUUCAUAGACAUUCAAUGAACUAAUCAAUCUUGUGCAUGCAGGACUUGAGCUAGGGCAGCAGGCACACCAGGGGACAUUGCUGGGGUGGAGGGGCAUGAUCUGUCACAAUCACGCUCAGCAGCAAGAGAAUGAAGAAGAGCUCCACAGAUGGCCUGGUUAUAAAGGAAGAUUAAGGAACUGGGAUAAGUUCAUGGACAGAACAGAAUGACAGAAAGGGAAGCUAUGACUCUCCAGUUCAGGUGUAAGGAGUUAGUGCUCGAGGUUCCCAGGCUGAACUGCAGAGUAGAGGUGUUUUGUUUUUUCCCAUACUUAUGAACUUUGUCAGUGACCAUAUUGCACCAGAAACAACGUUUUUUUUUUUCUCCCUCCUGUUGCCUUGAGCAAGGGAUUGGACUAGAUGAGGUACCUUCCAACCUUACUUCACCAUAACUAUGAUUCCUGUAGGUUGAGAAUUAAGAAAUAUUUUUAUAUUUGCAUAUGUUUUAUAUUUAAUUUUUAUAUUCCACAA